rnacentral:rRNA from 1 species
CAUGUCCUUUUGAGUAUAAUUUAAGGUCUGACCUGCCCAAUGAGGAUUUCAAUGGCCGCGAUAUUUUGAUCGUGCGAAGGUAGCAUAAUCAUUAGUUUCUUAAUUAGAAGCUUGUAUGAAUGGUUGGACGAGGGAGAUACUGUCUCUAUAUAAUUUUUAUAGAAUUUUAUUUUUAAGUUAAAAAGCUUAAAUUUUCUUUAAAGACGAGAAGACCCUAUAGAGUUUUAUAGUUUGUUUUUAUUAGAUGAAUUAGGUAUUUGUUCUUCUUUUAUUAGUUAAUUAUUUGGUUGGGGCGACAGGAAAAUUGAUUUAACUUUUUCUUUAUAGCAAUACAGAUGAGUAGAUUAUUGAUCCUUUUAUUAAGAUUAAAAGAUUAAAUUACCUUAGGGAUAACAGCGUAAUCUUCCUAGAGAGUUCUUAUCGAAAGGAAAAGGGUUGCGACCUCGAUGUUGGAUUAAAGUUAAUUUUUGGUGCAGAAGCUGGGGAUAUUAAGUCUGUUCGACUUUUAAAACUUUACAUGAUCUGAGU